GACGAACGCUGGCGGCGCGCCUAACACAUGCAAGUCGAACGGAGAUAAGGAGGAGCUUGCUCCACCUUAUCUGAGUGGCGGACGGGUGAGUAACGCGUGAGUAACCUGCCUAUAAGUGGGGGAUAACAUCCGGAAACGGGUGCUAAUACCGCAUAAUAACCGACACCACAUGGUGUAAGUUUGAAAGAUGGCUCUGCUGUCACUUAUAGAUGACCUUGCGGUGCAUUAGCUAGUUGGUGGGGUAAUAGCCUACCAAGGCCAUGAUGCAUAGCCGACCUGAGAGGGUGAUCGGCCACAUUGGGACUGAGACACGGCCCAA
rnacentral:rRNA from 1 species